UUUUAUGGAGAGUUUGAUCCUGGCUCAGGAUGAACGCUGGCGGCGUGCCUAAUACAUGCAAGUCGAGCGAACGGACGAGAAGCUUGCUUCUCUGAUGUUAGCGGCGGACGGGUGAGUAACACGUGGAUAACCUACCUAUAAGACUGGGAUAACUUCGGGAAACCGGAGCUAAUACCGGAUAAUAUUUUGAACCGCAUGGUUCAAAAGUGAAAGACGGUCUUGCUGUCACUUAUAGAUGGAUCCGCGCUGCAUUAGCUAGUUGGUAAGGUAACGGCUUACCAAGGCAACGAUGCAUAGCCGACCUGAGAGGGUGAUCGGCCACACUGGAACUGAGACACGGUCCAGACUCCUACGGGAGGCAGCAGUAGGGAAUCUUCCGCAAUGGGCGAAAGCCUGACGGAGCAACGCCGCGUGAGUGAUGAAGGUCUUCGGAUCGUAAAACUCUGUUAUUAGGGAAGAACAUAUGUGUAAGUAACUGUGCACAUCUUGACGGUACCUAAUCAGAAAGCCACGGCUAACUACGUGCCAGCAGCCGCGGUAAUACGUAGGUGGCAAGCGUUAUCCGGAAUUAUUGGGCGUAAAGCGCGCGUAGGCGGUUUUUUAAGUCUGAUGUGAAAGCCCACGGCUCAACCGUGGAGGGUCAUUGGAAACUGGAAAACUUGAGUGCAGAAGAGGAAAGUGGAAUUCCAUGUGUAGCGGUGAAAUGCGCAGAGAUAUGGAGGAACACCAGUGGCGAAGGCGACUUUCUGGUCUGUAACUGACGCUGAUGUGCGAAAGCGUGGGGAUCAAACAGGAUUAGAUACCCUGGUAGUCCACGCCGUAAACGAUGAGUGCUAAGUGUUAGGGGGUUUCCGCCCCUUAGUGCUGCAGCUAACGCAUUAAGCACUCCGCCUGGGGAGUACGACCGCAAGGUUGAAACUCAAAGGAAUUGACGGGGACCCGCACAAGCGGUGGAGCAUGUGGUUUAAUUCGAAGCAACGCGAAGAACCUUACCAAAUCUUGACAUCCUUUGACAACUCUAGAGAUAGAGCCUUCCCCUUCGGGGGACAAAGUGACAGGUGGUGCAUGGUUGUCGUCAGCUCGUGUCGUGAGAUGUUGGGUUAAGUCCCGCAACGAGCGCAACCCUUAAGCUUAGUUGCCAUCAUUAAGUUGGGCACUCUAAGUUGACUGCCGGUGACAAACCGGAGGAAGGUGGGGAUGACGUCAAAUCAUCAUGCCCCUUAUGAUUUGGGCUACACACGUGCUACAAUGGACAAUACAAAGGGCAGCGAAACCGCGAGGUCAAGCAAAUCCCAUAAAGUUGUUCUCAGUUCGGAUUGUAGUCUGCAACUCGACUACAUGAAGCUGGAAUCGCUAGUAAUCGUAGAUCAGCAUGCUACGGUGAAUACGUUCCCGGGUCUUGUACACACCGCCCGUCACACCAUGAGAGUUUGUAACACCCGAAGCCGGUGGAGUAACCUUUUAGGAGCUAGCCGUCGAAGGUGGGACAAAUGAUUGGGGUGAAGUCGUAACAAGGUAGCCGUAUCGGAAGGUGCGGCUGGAUCACCUCCUUUCUA
rnacentral:rRNA from 1 species